rnacentral:lncRNA from 1 species
CUUCACUGUCAGCCCUAAACUAUAGAAACACAAUUUCCCCCAGUAUAACAUAAGGGUGUAAACACUAGGUGUCACACUGGUGUUGCAGUCAAAAAAGCAGCAUAACUUGAUUGAUAGCCUGAAAAUGGUAGCUCGUUAUGAGGUAAGGAGAUGUGGAACCUAUCUAGCUGGCUAGCUGAAAGCAAACUUCAAAAAAAAUAGCUAGGAAUAAAGUUGCAGAUCUUGAUAAAAAUUCACACACCUACUGAAAAAUCAUGCCAGCACAUCAACCGCUGUGUCUUUGCUCCACGGCGCACCUUGGAAUAACCCGACAGGGGAGGGAAAUCAGUCAGUUUAUGAUAAAACGUGGGUUCUAAAAUGAAAAACCAAUGUAAUACACGGCCAAUCUAAAAGGGGCACGUGCUCUUGUUCCCCCAAUGGGCAUAACACCGCUGGCCACUUUCAUUGUGUGAUCGAUUCGCAAGCAAGACAGGUUUAUUAUAGCGUUCAUCAAUCCCUUAUGGCACCUAAUGGUGAAGGAAAAGCCAGACCCAGUUUUCAAACAGUAAAACUUUAUUGCAAUGUGCAUUGUCACAUUCUUCUUUGCACAACAGAAUAGAGGCACCCAAACCCAUUUUUCAGGAAAAGACAAAACAAGGACAAAUCAAAUAAAACAUUGAAUCAUUACAACAAAAACAAUUCAAAUGAAAUGUGUAGUUUAAAACAUCUUUUAAACAACUUUAAGAUAAGUGUCCUUUCCUUUCCAUACACAGAGGGCUUUAGAUUUCAUAGACGUUACAGAAAAUCUAUAAGAUCAUUAUACAUAACAAGGUCCAAACCAUGCUUCUCUGUAUCAAUGUCUGAAAAACAGCCAUUUGGGAUAUGAGCACAUUGGACAGAUUCUUUCCUCUUUACAACACAUUUUACAGGUUGACAUUUCUCAGUAAAUUAUAACCAAAACAGAUCAUCUUGUACAGUUAACAUUUAGAUUCCUCUGUCACUUUGUUAUUUCUUGGCCAUCACAUUGAUUCCCCCCCCCCCCCAAUUCAGGCCUUUCACAUUGAUCCCCCCAAUUCAGGCCUUCACAUUGAUCCCCCCCCCAAUUCAUUAUCAAUUGAUAAUACAUCUUGCAAAAAGCAUUACUGUUAAUUGACAUUUACAUUAGAGCAUUGUACCCAUACCAUGAAGUCCACAUGCAAAUCAAUCAUUAUAAAGUGCUGUAAGGACAAGACAAUUCAUGACCAAAAAUUAAUUAGAAAGUAUAUAAACUUCCAC